CCCUGGAGCGAUACAAAGAAGAUUAGCAUGGCCCCCGCGCAAGGAUGGCACGCACAAAUCGAGAAAUGGUCCAAAUUUUA
rnacentral:snRNA from 1 species